GAAUGGGCACAUUUUGCUAAGUGACGGUGCCAUUUGAUAAAGCUCAUGAAGCCAGCUGAGCUAAUUGACCAAGUUAAUGUUGCAUAAGCAUGGCCUCAGCCAGGAACAAACUUUGUGCAGUUAAAAAUUGCACUUACAAGGAAUGUUAUUCCCUAGUCAACAUCCAUGUUAGUGUAUCUUUGUUUGCAUUUCCUAAGUAUUUCUUAAGCAGUGUGUGGAAUUGCUUUAUUUUAGAUUAAAAAAAAAAAUAGUCAAGUAGCAGCAGUUUCUUAUGGGCUCAAAUCUGUAAUUUGUUUCCAGCAUCUUGUUCUCUCUCAACAUUUUGGGGACUAUUUAGCAUAAAGAACCAACAUUGCUUAUUUCUCGCCGUCAUUCCCACCUUAAGUUAUAGGAAUAGAAACCUAAUAAAAAUCAACACCUGCAGUCAGAUGUUGGCAGGAAGGGCCGGAAGAAACUGCCUUUGGGCUUCUCUGUCCACAGAUUUCUGCUGUGGUCCUGAUCCAGAAUCUUAGGGCUAGGGCUGGGGAUACGGUAGGUAAGAUUUCCGAGAUGUUCGUGGCUGAUCUUGACAUCCUGUCUACCAUUUUUUCUGAUCCUACGACACAAGCCCCAAAUCAUCCAAGUUAGAGAGCCAAUAUCUAGUCCUAACCAGGGCUUAUUCAUUCCUAGCGGAAAGAAGCCAGUGUACCACUGUCAGCUCUGAAAAGAGGCUUUGUUAAAAUAGAAUUACAUGCCGAGUCCAAUUAAGAAAAGAUCAGUUCGCUCAGUGUAAAAUUUCAGCUAUUUUAAGGAAAGAAGACUACUUUUGAACCAUUCUUUAAAUGCUAUGUUAUUUAAAAAAUAUUUAUCUUAGUAACUCAAAAGCUGCUCUUGUAUCCCAUUGUUUGAAUGCACGUUCCCUCUUGGAACAUUCCCUUUGUGUAUGGCAUUCAUUUUGUGGUACUUACAGUGAACGCAAAGGAAAGAACUGUAAUUAAGGUCAGACGCUUUAUUAAAAAAUGUAUGUGGUAGCUCUUAUGACAUGCAUAAAUAUUAUUAACUAGGUUUUAAACUUCAAAUUUCAUUUUUGUCUGAGACCCUUACGUAGAAUAUCAGACAUAAAUAAGUGGAUAAUAAAUAACAAAAACACUGCCACAAAUAAAUUUCCUGUAUUCAUGUAUAUUAAAGAAAAUCGCUGUACAAAAACGUAGUCACAGCGCCCUUGAAAGAAACCCCUUCUGGUCACAGUCGUAAUUCCUCCACACGGUCGCCGCUCCCCUAAGACAGACAGCAGAUGGCGCUGCGCCUCCCCUUUUGUCCCGCCUCUGGCAAUGGGACAGGAACCCAAUUUUGGCGGAGCUGAGCUGAAGAGUGUAAACAACCUACCCAGGAUUGGGUGGGCAAUUGAAGCUGUGUAUUUAGCGUCAUAAUUCACCACCUUUCAUACCGAUCUUUGCUCUCAAGGACAGGGUUUUUAUUAUCCUUGAUCUAGGGGCUCAACGCUUCGGAUUAACAGGGCUCAUUACCGCUGAGGGGAGGGGCUGCUUGCAGGAAAAAGGACUUGGUUGUUGCUCUGUGAAGCGGGAAGAUACCGUGCUCAGCAGCACCCAACAAUCACCAAGAAAAGGAUGCUCCCUUCCCUCAUAGCCAAAUUGUAUUUGGUAAGGGUCCCUGGGUGCUUGGUAGUGAGGUUGAAAAGAUGAAAUGAUGUGACUUGUAACUUUGAGAAGUUUGUGCUUGGGAAGGUGACUGCAGAAAUUUAGUCGAAAGGAUUUUCUGCCCAUUGAUACUCAAUAACCACAGUUUCAUUUUGCUGCGUCCCAGCCUUAUUGUGCUAACUGCGUUUGAUGCUCACCAGCAGCCUCUCCUCUCUUUAGUCUUUUGGUCUAUGUCUGUUUCUUCUUCUGGGUUUGUUGGUCUAGCUAAAUUGCACUCGUUGACCUUGGCGUGCAGAUGUGUGUAGCUUUGUUUCCUCACAUAAUUGAAUAAAAAUGCCUUUUGUGGGAAAAUGAUGACAGUUUGGUAAAAUAGUCACGCAGUGUUCAGCUAGGUGAGAUUUUAGAGAUUAUUUAACCCAACCGGUUAUAAUGAUGCUUAAAAGUGUACUAUGAUUCUCUCAUGUGCACAUAGCUUGAGCGCUUUGACCCAGGUUUUUUGAGGAGUCUAACAACCCACUUUACUUUAUGCUCUAUUGCGUUUUAAAACAGGGUCAGAUCAGAAAUAUCAAAGUUAAUUUCCAUCAGUGACAUGCUGAUCAUGGGUGGAUUUUGGCUCGUCACAUUUAUCACACACAGCCGUCCCUGCAAGCCUACGCCAGCUUUCCUGUCACCGUCACUGGUCAGUGUUCUGCCCCUGUACCCUGUUCUCUCUGCCAGCAUGAGCCCCAUUGUCCUGAAGUUUGUCUGUCGUCUUCUUUAGGCUCUGAGUUCGUUGGGAACAGGCUUGUCAUCUCACUCAUGUUUGUCUCGCCCCCUGUGCCUUGCAUAGUGCCUGGCGCCUCUUACGGAUUUAGACAUGCGGAUUGAAUGAGUGAAUGAACUUUUUAUGGAGACUCUCCUAAAAAUGGCAAAGUCAGUGCUAUGGAAAGCCCUCCCAGAGCUCUGAACACGGAGAUGUGCUAGUGUAUGAAAAACCCUUAACUACAGCUGGGCUUGAAAGCAAGAAAACAAAUCUUCAAAUACUAAAAAGCAGGCAAAAGCCAAAAUUCACAGUGCUGCAGAGUGAAGGCAGAAGAAAACAUGUGUAGGAGAUAUUUUUGACUAGAUGAAUAUCAAAUGAGUUUAUAUAUUCAUAGACUCAUCUAUGAUACGGAACCAUUAGACUGAGGUACUUUUUAUAUCCAAAGGAAAGGCCCCAGCAUCAGGGCACAAAAACUUGCUUAUUGACUAUGAGCCCUGGGAACCCUUCUUUGAUUUGUCUCCAAGGAGAUGUAAGAGCUGUUUUUUCCCUUUUUUUGGCCAACCUGCAGCGUGCAGAAGUUCCUGGGCUAGGGAUUGAACCUGUGCCACAGCUGUGACUCAAGCAAUGACAAUGCUGGAUCCUUAACCACUGAGCCACCAGAGAACUCCAUCAGAACUCUUCUGACGUCACAUCCUUAGGAUGGUAAUUGUUCUUAGAGACAAUCAAUCAAGUAAGCCAGUAAAGACAGGGGCAUCCCAAAGUCACUUUAAACAACCGAGGUCUGUACAGGAAACAGGGAGAACCAACAGGCUGCCUGAUAAACUGAGUGUCUCAUUCCAUGCAAAGCUUGCUCCUACAACUCAAAUGUGUGAUUUUCUGGAUGUUUGGUAUCUUAUUUUUUCAGACUGCAGAGAGUUCCCAUUGUGGCUCAGUGGUAACAAACCCGACUAGUAUCUCUGAGGAUGCGGGUUUGAUCUAUGGCCUUGCUCAGUGGGUUAAGGAUCUGUCCUUGCCGUGAGCUGUGGUGUAGGUUGUAGACGCAGCUCAGAUCCUGCAUUGCUGUGGCUGUGGUGUAAGUUGGCAGCUGCAGCUCUGAUUUGACUCCUAGGCUGAGAAAUUCCAUAUGCCGUGGGUGUGGCCCUAAAAAG
rnacentral:lncRNA from 1 species